UCAGAACUCACCCGACUUGAUCCUUAAACACAGAUAGUCGAAACCUGUCAAAUGAGAUCGCGGACUUUGCUCUCACGGCUGGCACACAUAAAAACGAACCCACACGGCGAGAUCACCGAGCUCCCUGAUGGCGAACCAAGAGGCGGCUGUUCUUCCCUCCACAAGCCUCAUGGAGUCCUGACUCGGAAAUGAAGACGACCGCGAGGGCUCCAGACACGACAAAGAAGUAUACGGUCCCAAAGCUGGAUGCCACUUAGUGAAGUGAUACCCAUGUAGAGAAAGAUCCCAAACAGAGCUGUCAUAGGAAUCAUCUUCAGGAUGGGCUCCAUUAGAAUCGAGACCCCUGUGGAUAAAAGGCUUGGAACUCACCAACCAUCACGGCCACCAAAAUACCACUGACUCUUUGUUCUAUCACGCGUUCAAUCUGAGGUCUGGGGCCUUUGGUCAUGACAGUCAGGGCAUUGGCAUGUGUGACAGAUCUCACAGUGGCAGCACUGAGCCAGGGGACACCAAAGAUAGAGGCAGCUCCUCCCAAGAACACCAAAAGGAGGAGGUCCAGAUGGAAACCAGAGCCCUUGACCAUUUUUCUCUCAGGCUUACUCACGAUCAGCCUGGAUGUGAUCUGGGACUCAAGGAAAAUAAGGAUGAAGACCAACAAGGCAGGAACAGCACAGGCGAACAUCAUCCAGACAGGGAAUAGCUUCUUCUCACCAAAUGGGUUGAUGAGCCAGCCUCUAGCAGAUGUGUUGG